rnacentral:rRNA from 1 species
UACGGAGGGAGCUAGCGUUGUUCGGAUCUACUGGGCGUAAAGCGCACGUAGGCGGCGCCGUAAGUCAGGGGUGAAAUCCCGGAGCUCAACUCCGGAACUGCCCUUGAAACUGCAGUGCUAGAAUCUUGGAGAGGCGAGUGGAAUUCCGAGUGUAGAGGUGAAAUUCGUAGAUAUUCGGAAGAACACCAGUGGCGAAGGCGACUCGCUGGACAAGUAUUGACGCUGAGGUGCGAAAGCGUGGGGAGCAAACAGC